UGAAGAACGUAGCGAAAUGCGAUACGUAAUGUGAAUUGCAGAAUUCAGUGAAUCAUCGAAUCUUUGAACGCAUAUUGCGCUCUCUGGUAUUCCGGAGAGCAUGCUUGUUUGAGUAUCAGUAAACACCUCAACUUCCAUAUCUUUUUUUGAAAUGGGAGUUGGACUUGAGUGAUCCCAACGCUUUUCCUCACCGAAAAGUGGCGGGUUACUUGAAAUGCAGGUGCAGCUGGACUUUUCUCUGAGCUAUAAGCAUAUCUAUUUAGUCUGCCUAAAAAACAGAUUAUUACCUUUGCUGCAGCUAACAUAAAGGAGAUUAGUUCUUGUGCUGACUGAUGCAGGAUUCACAAAGACAGCUUCGGCCGACUUUGUAAACUCGAUCUCAAAUCAAGUAAGACUACCCGCUGAACUUAAGCAUAUCAAUAAGCGGAGGA
rnacentral:misc_RNA from 1 species